CCCUUAGAUGUCCGGGGCCGCACGCGCGCUACACUGAAGGAAUCAGCGUGGCUUUCUCCCUGACCCGAAAGGGUUGGGAAACCCGUUGAAUCUCCUUCGUGAUAGGGAUUGGGGCUUGAAAUUGUUCCCCAUGAACGAGGAAUUCCCAGUAAGCGCGAGUCAUAAGCUCGCGUUGAUUACGUCCCUGCCCUUUGUACACACCGCCCGUCGCUACUACCGAUUGAACGGUUUAGUGAGGGCCUCGGAUUGGUCUCGGCCCGCUCUUUACCGGGCGGCGCCGUUGGUCGAGAAGACGCUCGAACUUGAUCGUUUAGAGGAAGUAAAAGUCGUACA
rnacentral:rRNA from 1 species